UCCCGAAAUACCAGGCUGCUGAACACCAGACUCUCCCUGUAAGCCGCAGGCCAAUUAGUGUGGUGUUUCAGCAUUGUUAUCUGCCUGUCAUGGUGGGUUUCUCCUUCCUUCUCUCUGUUUGUCGAACCACAAACUGCUGCUGCUGAUGGGCCACGGGGCGCCGUGAGAGCCGCAGAGGAGACGGAUGGAGGACAGGAACAGAAAAAGAAGAUGGAUGAGCAGCAGGCUGUGGGGUGGAGAGAGAGGUUCUCAUCCACAUCACAUCUUAUGUGAUCUAGGGCAAUACACCUGGGAAAGAACCUUCUGGCAUGCCUGAUCCAUCCCUGGCAAUCUUCUGCUGAUAUGUCCAGGCAUCCAGCAUUCAUUGCGUCCAGGAGGGACAUUUGAUCAUGUGGAUGGUGGUCAUGAACCUUCCACCUCCAUGAGGAAAAGAAUUCCUCUAUGGGAAUGGGAAUGGGAAUGAGGAAUGGAGAGUAAGAUGGGAGGGAAAGUGACACCAUUCUGGGAUGUGCUGCAAACCACUCGGUGACAGCACGGGAGUGGUGAAAUGCCACAUUGUCCCAUACAAUUAGAAAUGUUGGCUGAUUUCUUCUCUCUGCAUCCCUUUCCUCACCUGGCACAACCCUUACAUAGAGAUCAUGCAGGAACGCAAGGAGACGUUCAGUUUUGUAUCAUGUUAUUGUUUUGAACAUAAGUUUACAGUUUUUUACAGUCGCUAGGACACAUUUCUC
ensembl:lncRNA